rnacentral:rRNA from 1 species
UCAGGAUGAACGCUAGCGGCAGGCUAACACAUGCAAGUCGAGGGGCAUCGGGAGUAGCAAUACUGCCGGCGACCGGCGCAAGGGUGCGUAACGCGUGAGCAACAUGCCCGUAUCAGGGGGGAUAAUCCAUGGAAACGUGGUCUAAUACCCCAUAGUAAUUAUGUAAGGCAUCUUAUAUAAUUUAAAGCUUUGGUGGAUACGGAUUGGCUCGCGUGACAUUAGCUAGAUGGUAAGGUAACGGCUUACCAUGGCUACGAUGUCUAGGGGUUCUGGGAGGAAGGUCCCCCCACACUGGAACUGAGACACGGUCCAGACUCCUACGGGAGGCAGCAGUGAGGAAUAUUGGACAAUGGAUGGAAAUCUGAUCCAGCCAUGCCGCGUGCAGGAAAGACGGCCCUAUGGGUUGUAAACUGCUUUUGUAUGGGAGCAAUAAGGGCUACGCGUAGUCCGAUGAGAGUACCAUACGAAUAAGCACCGGCUAACUCCGUGCCAGCAGCAGC